rnacentral:rRNA from 1 species
UUUGAUCAUAGCUCAGGACGAACGCUGGCGGCGUGCCUAAUACAUGCAAGUAGAACGCUGAAGAGAGGAGCUUGCUCUUCUUGGAUGAGUUGCGAACGGGUGAGUAACGCGUAGGUAACCUGCCUUGUAGCGGGGGAUAACUAUUGGAAACGAUAGCUAAUACCGCAUAACAAUAGGUGACACAUGUCAUUUAUUUGAAAGGGGCAAUUGCUCCACUACAAGAUGGACCUGCGUUGUAUUAGCUAGUAGGUGAGGUAACGGCUCACCUAGGCGACGAUACAUAGCCGACCUGAGAGGGUGAUCGGCCACACUGGGACUGAGACACGGCCCAGACUCCUACGGGAGGCAGCAGUAGGGAAUCUUCGGCAAUGGGGGCAACCCUGACCGAGCAACGCCGCGUGAGUGAAGAAGGUUUUCGGAUCGUAAAGCUCUGUUGUAAGUCAAGAACGAGUGUGAGAGUGGAAAGUUCACACUGUGACGGUAGCUUACCAGAAAGGGACGGCUAACUACGUGCCAGCAGCCGCGGUAAUACGUAGGUCCCGAGCGUUGUCCGGAUUUAUUGGGCGUAAAGCGAGCGCAGGCGGUUUGAUAAGUCUGAAGUUAAAGGCUGUGGCUCAACCAUAGUUCGCUUUGGAAACUGUCAAACUUGAGUGCAGAAGGGGAGAGUGGAAUUCCAUGUGUAGCGGUGAAAUGCGUAGAUAUAUGGAGGAACACCGGUGGCGAAAGCGGCUCUCUGGUCUGUAACUGACGCUGAGGCUCGAAAGCGUGGGGAGCGAACAGGAUUAGAUACCCUGGUAGUCCACGCCGUAAACGAUGAGUGCUAGGUGUUGGAUCCUUUCCGGGAUUCAGUGCCGCAGCUAACGCAUUAAGCACUCCGCCUGGGGAGUACGACCGCAAGGUUGAAACUCAAAGGAAUUGACGGGGGCCCGCACAAGCGGUGGAGCAUGUGGUUUAAUUCGAAGCAACGCGAAGAACCUUACCAGGUCUUGACAUCCCGAUGCUAUUUCUAGAGAUAGAAAGUUACUUCGGUACAUCGGUGACAGGUGGUGCAUGGUUGUCGUCAGCUCGUGUCGUGAGAUGUUGGGUUAAGUCCCGCAACGAGCGCAACCCCUAUUGUUAGUUGCCAUCAUUCAGUUGGGCACUCUAGCGAGACUGCCGGUAAUAAACCGGAGGAAGGUGGGGAUGACGUCAAAUCAUCAUGCCCCUUAUGACCUGGGCUACACACGUGCUACAAUGGUUGGUACAACGAGUUGCGAGUCGGUGACGGCAAGCUAAUCUCUUAAAGCCAAUCUCAGUUCGGAUUGUAGGCUGCAACUCGCCUACAUGAAGUCGGAAUCGCUAGUAAUCGCGGAUCAGCACGCCGCGGUGAAUACGUUCCCGGGCCUUGUACACACCGCCCGUC